AGAGCCCUGGAUAUCCAUAACCAAAAUCGAAAGCUACUUGAGCAAACAUUCCGAUUGCAACGCUGACUCAAGUCACAGAUAUUUAACUAUCUGCCAGCCACUCCACCAGCGCUGCGGUAUAUUCCCGAUGCUGAGCCCACUGCAUAACAGCGUGCCCAGACUGAAGCUACAAUCCAGCACUUGGGCCAGCAGAAGAACAUGGAUGUGUCCGACACACUGAAGAAUUGGUCACGGCUCCUUACUGAAAAAAUACAGGACGUUUCGAAGGUGCUUCGAAAGGUGGAAUUCAAAUAAAUAAAAAAAGCUGAUCUGCCUUUGUUGCGUAAAAUCCAUCAGCAGAAAACACCUUUGGUAGGCUUCUACUGCGGCCAGUUGCAAUAGGGACCAACUGGGACUAGUUGCAACUGGU